rnacentral:rRNA from 1 species
CGGGUGAGUAACGCGUGGAUAAUCUACCCUUAAGAUGGGGAUAACGGGCUGGAAACGGUCGCUAAUACCGAAUACGCUCCCGAUUUUUAUCAUUGGGGGGAAAGGAUGGCCUCUGCUUGCAAGCUAUCGCUUAAGGAUGAGUCCGCGUCCCAUUAGCUAGUUGGCGGGGUAACGGCCCACCAAGGCAACGAUGGGUAGCCGGUCUGAGAGGAUGACCGGCCACACUGGAACUGGAACACGGUCCAG